rnacentral:rRNA from 1 species
GGGGAAUUUUCCGCAAUGGGCGAAAGCCUGACGGAGCAAGACCGCGUGAGGGAUGAAGGCCUUUGGGUUGUAAACCUCUUUUCUCAGGGAAGAAUACAAUGACGGUACCUGAGGAAUAAGCCUCGGCUAACUCCGUGCCAGCAGCCGCGGUAAGACGGAGGAGGCAAGCGUUAUCCGGAAUCAGGAGGCGUAAAGAGUGGGCAGGGGUCCCCCAGUGUUCAUGGGGAAUGUUCGGCAAUG